rnacentral:rRNA from 1 species
UACGGGAGGCAGCAGUGGGGAAUAUUGCACAAUGGGCGAAAGCCUGAUGCAGCUAUGCCGCGUGUAUGAAGAAGGCCUUAGGGUUGUAAAGUACUUUCAUCGGGGAGGAAAAAACAAAACUAAUAAUUUUAUUUCUUGACGUUACCCGAAAAAGAAGCACCGGCUAACUCCGUGCCAGCAGCCGCGGUAAUACGGAGGGUGCUAGCGUUAAUCAGAAUUACUGGGCGUAAAGAGCACGUAGGUGGUUUUUUAAAGUCAGAUGUGAAAUCCCUGGGCUUAACCUAGGAACUGCAUUUUGAAACUGAAAUACUAGAGUAUCGUAGAGGGAGGUAGAAUUCUAGGUGUAGCGGUGAAAUGCGUAGAUAUCUGGAGGAUACCUGUGGCGAAAGCGGCCUCCUAAACGAAUACUGACACUGAGGUGCGAAAGCGUGGGGAGCAAACAGGGAUUAGAUACC